CCUACGGGAGGCAGCAGUGGGGAAUAUUGGGCAAUGGGCGCAAGCCUGACCCAGCAAUGCCGCGUGAAGGAAGAAGGCUUUCGGGUUGUAAACUUCUUUGACAGGGGAAGAGCAGAAGACGGUACCCUGAAAACAAGCCACGGCUAACUACGUGCCAGCAGCCGCGGUAAUACGUAGGUGGCAAGCGUUGUCCGGAUUUACUGGGUGUAAAGGGCGUGUAGCCGGGAAGGCAAGUCAGAUGUGAAAUCCGGAGGCUCAACCUCCGAAUUGCAUUUGAAACUGUUUUUCUUGAGUACUGGAGAGGCAGACGGAAUUCCUUGUGUAGCGGUGAAAUGCGUAGAUAUAAGGAGGAACACCAGUGGCGAAGGCGGUCUGCUGGACAGCAACUGACGGUGAGGCGCGAAAGCGUGGGGAGCAAACAGGAUUAGAUACCCCAGUAGUC
rnacentral:rRNA from 1 species